UCCCGCCGCCCCCGCCCGCCUACGGGAGGAGCAGUGGGGAAUUUUGGACAAUGGGGGAAACCCUGAUCCAGCAAUGCCGCGUGAGUGAAGAAGGCCUUCGGGUUGUAAAGCUCUUUCAGUUGAGAAGAAAAGGUUGUGACUAAUAAUCAUAGAUUUAUGACGGUAUCAACAGAAGAAGCACCGGCUAAGCUAUCGG
rnacentral:rRNA from 1 species